UACGAAGGGUGCAAGCGUUACUCGGAAUUACUGGGCGUAAAGCGUGCGUAGGCGGUUUGUUAAGUCCGCUGUGAAAGCCCUGGGCUCAACCUGGGAAUUGCAGUGGAUACUGGCAAGCUAGAGUGCGGUAGAGGAUGGUGGAAUUCCCGGUGUAGCGGUGAAAUGCGUAGAGAUCGGGAAGAACACCUAUGGCGAAGGCAGCUCUCUGGGACGGUACUGACGCUGAGACGCGAAAGCGUGGGGAGCAAACAGG
rnacentral:rRNA from 1 species